rnacentral:rRNA from 1 species
UACGUAGGCAGCAAGCGUUGUUCGGAAUUACUGGGCGUAAAGAGUGUGUAGGCGGUGCUCUAAGUCUGUUGUGAAAUCUCCCGGCUUAACUGGGAGGGUGCGGCGGAGACUGGAGUGCCAGAGUGUGGGAGAGGUAAGCGGAAUUCCUGGUGUAGCGGUGAAAUGCGUAGAUAUCAGGAGGAACACCUGUGGUGUAGACAGCUUACUGGACCACGACUGACGCUGAGACACGAAAGCGUGGGUAGCAAACAGG